UGCAGCAGGCGCAAUGAUAUUAACUUCCGUCAACAUAACCAACUGCACAGGGAGCGUGCCUUGCAACCAUGGAGACGAGUCAGAAGAUAUUUACUUUGGUGCACCAGAACUCAACAACAAAAGUACUAACGUUAUAUACUGUAUAAGCCAAAUGGUCGAGCGAACCUAGCCCGCAGUGAUUGCAUUUCACAGGUAGCUAACGACAACAGCAGUGCUUUUUCAAUCUGGUCGUUCAAGCUAACUAAAAAUAAUAAUGUUACACUUACAGCCAUGGGUGAUGAUACACUUGGGCCUGUCUGUACUCUGAAGAUUGUUGGGAUGGCCGUAUCCUUUAGACGUCGUACCGUGGUACGGGUAACACUGUCCAUGUUUUCCAAAUAGUCAUCUGGUCCAAAAUGCUUUGAGCAAACACGCCAUUUCUUGAUUGAUUCUACCGGUGUUUUGAGAUCUAUGAUCAGAGCAGCCAGCCACUGAUUCUUUCGUUUCUUAAUUUUCGUUGGAAUUCUAUGAAACAUGAUGGUAGAGUACACCUUCGACUUACUAUCACAGCCCUUUACAACACACAUAACCAUGGCUAAUCCCACACAGGUAAAUCCAGCCACUACCCAACUCUGCAACUACACAAAUUUAGCACCGGUCACGUUGGAAGUUACUUAGCUGGGGACUAUUUUCAGGCACUGCGUAAUAUUAUUGCGCCUGCUGCACCUAUGGUACGGCAGCAAAGUUCCUUGAUUAUUACGCCGGAAUGAGAGUAUAGUUCCUAGCCAUAUCGGCCUAGAAAAUUGCAUCUUUUCAUUUUCCGUCGGUUUUAGUACACGAUGUAACUACAGAAGAGUCAAGUAUUAAAUAGGAAAAAUAUCUAAACUCUUUGGUCAUUUUUGAGCGAGAUGCUAACGGUCUAAUCAGAUUCAAUGAUCUAUGCUAAGCUGCAGCUAAAAGUGGUACCGCCAGACCCUGAGAUCGGAUGAAUGGAUUCGAAAAAGGUGCAGCUCUCUGACAGUAAGGAUGCGAGUGAGCAUGCUGUCCAGAGCCUCAUUGCUCAGCGAGGCGGUUGAGAACCACAUGGGACUGCUGGGUACGCAGGAGCGCUCGGGGCUCAGGUAGAAUUGGGUCGUGCAUUGCCUCACACUGGGGAUGCCAUCUACAUUGAAAAAAACAAACAAAUGAUAAACACAACAAGAACACAAAACACACAAUCAGGCUAUGACAUUAUGACUGACCACUGACCAGAGCUUGAGUCCUCUUUGGGGGGAUAGAAACGCAAACAGGCCAUUUUGGUGCUGCCCUUGCUCCGAGAGCAGCGGACGAUGUGGCCAAAAGAGAGGCAACGGUGCUGCUCCACA